rnacentral:rRNA from 1 species
GGUCAAGUGAAGAAGCGCAUACGGUGGAUGCCUUGGCAGUCAGAGGCGAUGAAAGACGUGGUAGCCUGCGAAAAGCUUCGGGGAGUCGGCAAACAGACUUUGAUCCGGAGAUCUCUGAAUGGGGGAACCCACCUAGGAUAACCUAGGUAUCUUGUACUGAAUCCAUAGGUGCAAGAGGCGAACCAGGGGAACUGAAACAUCUAAGUACCCUGAGGAAAAGAAAUCAACCGAGAUUCCCUUAGUAGUGGCGAGCGAACGGGGAUUAGCCCUUAAGCUUCAUUGAUUUUAGCGGAACGCUCUGGAAAGUGCGGCCAUAGUGGGUGAUAGCCCCGUACGCGAAAGGAUCUUUGAAGUGAAAUCGAGUAGGACGGAGCACGAGAAACUUUGUCUGAACAUGGGGGGACCAUCCUCCAAGGCUAAAUACUACUGACUGACCGAUAGUGAACCAGUACCGUGAGGGAAAGGCGAAAAGAACCCCGGAGAGGGGAGUGAAAUAGAACCUGAAACCGUAUGCGUACAAGCAGUGGGAGCCUACUUGUUAGGUGACUGCGUACCUUUUGUAUAAUGGGUCAGCGACUUAUAUUCAGUGGCAAGCUUAACCGUAUAGGGUAGGCGUAGCGAAAGCGAGUCUUAAUAGGGCGUUUAGUCGCUGGGUAUAGACCCGAAACCGGGCGAUCUAUCCAUGAGCAGGUUGAAGGUUAGGUAACACUGACUGGAGGACCGAACCCACUCCCGUUGAAAAGGUAGGGGAUGACUUGUGGAUCGGAGUGAAAGGCUAAUCAAGCUCGGAGAUAGCUGGUUCUCCUCGAAAGCUAUUUAGGUAGCGCCUCAUGUAUCACUCUGGGGGGUAGAGCACUGUUUCGGCUAGGGGGUCAUCCCGACUUACCAAACCGAUGCAAACUCCGAAUACCCAGAAGUGCCGAGCAUGGGAGACACACGGCGGGUGCUAACGUCCGUCGUGAAAAGGGAAACAACCCAGACCGCCAGCUAAGGUCCCAAAGUUGUGGUUAAGUGGUAAACGAUGUGGGAAGGCUUAGACAGCUAGGAGGUUGGCUUAGAAGCAGCCACCCUUUAAAGAAAGCGUAAUAGCUCACUAGUCGAGUCGGCCUGCGCGGAAGAUGUAACGGGGCUCAAACCACACACCGAAGCUGCGGGUGUCACGUAAGUGACGCGGUAGAGGAGCGUUCUGUAAGCCUGUGAAGGUGAGUUGAGAAGCUUGCUGGAGGUAUCAGAAGUGCGAAUGCUGACAUGAGUAACGACAAUGGGUGUGAAAAACACCCACGCCGAAAGACCAAGGGUUCCUGCGCAACGUUAAUCGACGCAGGGUUAGUCGGUUCCUAAGGCGAGGCUGAAAAGCGUAGUCGAUGGGAAACAGGUUAAUAUUCCUGUACUUCUGGUUACUGCGAUGGAGGGACGGAGAAGGCUAGGCCAGCUUGGCGUUGGUUGUCCAAGUUUAAGGUGGUAGGCUGAAAUCUUAGGUAAAUCCGGGGUUUCAAGGCCGAGAGCUGAUGACGAGUCGUCUUUUAGAUGACGAAGUGGUUGAUGCCAUGCUUCCAAGAAAAGCUUCUAAGCUUCAGGUAACCAGGAACCGUACCCCAAACCGACACAGGUGGUCGGGUAGAGAAUACCAAGGCGCUUGAGAGAACUCGGG